CUACUACUCCCUCCAUCCGGAAAUACCUGUCGGAGAAAUAGAUGUAUCUAAACGUAUUUUUAGUUCUAGAUACAUUCAUUUUUACCCAUUUCUACGACAAGUAAUUCCGGAUGGAGGGGUAUUUA
rfam:Triticum urartu cultivar G1812 contig108608, whole genome shotgun sequence.